GAACCAGUUCAAUGUGUCUGCUCAACCUGAAAAUGUUUUGCAGAGCAUAUUUUUAAAUUAGACUGGUAAAGUACAGCCACAGUACGAGCCUUGAAGACUUUGUAGUCUUUGAGGUCCCAAGAGUUGGCUACAUCU
ensembl:snoRNA small nucleolar RNA SNORA33